UACGUAGGGUGCAAGCGUUAAUCGGAAUUACUGGGCGUAAAGCGUGCGCAGGCGGUUAUGUAAGACAGGUGUGAAAUCCCCGGGCUUAACCUGGGAACUGCAUUUGUGACUGCAUAGCUAGAGUACGGUAGAGGGGGAUGGAAUUCCGCGUGUAGCAGUGAAAUGCGUAGAUAUGCGGAGGAACACCGAUGGCGAAGGCAGCUCUCUGGCCUACAACUGACGCUGAGGUGCGAAAGCGUGGGGAGCGAACGGG
rnacentral:rRNA from 1 species